GUCCUUUUGUUGAUAAUUUAAGGUCUAACCUGCCCACUGAGAUUUUAAAUGGCCGUGGUAUUUUGACCGUGCUAAGGUAGCAUAAUCAUUAGUUUUUUAAUUAAAAACUGGAAUGAAAGGUUGGAUAAGAAAAUAACUGUCUCUGUUAAAUUUAAUUAGAAUUUUAUUUUUAAGUUAAAAAGCUUAAUUAUUAUUAAAAGACGAGAAGACCCUAUAGAGUUUAAUUAUUUAAUAAAAAAUAUAUUUUAGUAUUUAUUUAUUUAUUUUAUUAAAUAAUUUAAUUGGGGUGAUUGAAAAAUUUAUUUAACUUUUUUUAUUUUAAAACAUUAAUUUAUGAGUAUAUGAYCCAAUAUUUUUGAUUAUAAGAUAAAAUUACCUUAGGGAUAACAGCGUAAUUUUUUUAGAAAGUUCAUAUUAAAAAAAAAGAUUGCGACCUCGAUGUUGGAUUAAAAUAAAUUUUUGGUGUAGAAGCUAAAAAUAUUAGGUCUGUUCGACCUUUAAAAUUUUAC
rnacentral:rRNA from 1 species